GUAUGCUAGGGGAGUCACUGUCUUUCCAACAUCAGGAGAGUGGCUGGCAGAGCGGAAAGCUGAAAGGACACGCAGCCUUUAUGGCACAGUUGAACCUCUGAGUUAGCCAACCCUGAAAUCACUGUACCUUUGGACUUGGCCGUGUGAGUCACUUUCCUUCUUGCCUAAGCUAUUUUUAACUGCUUUCUUUUGUCUGCAUCCAAGAUAACAAGGGGUGGGGUCAUUGAGUACAAAUAGAGAGAGGCGCUCUGAAAGGACAGACAGUAUCAUCAGCAAGAAUGGCUUCCUAUAAUAGGGGUUACUCAGAUAGGACUUUGAUGAGGACAAGAAGCUGGACGUCGAGAAGGAAGGGAGGACACAUCAGGAAGUGAGAAGAGGAGCACGUUUGCUAGCUCCAUAGGUAGGGAUAAGGAAGAAGAGGAAUCUCCUGCAUUUGUAGUGAGACAUGAGCCUUGGAGGUGGACUUGGGCUCAGUCACCCAUGGUGGGGUCAACACUGCUGCUGACCAGAAGGCAGCUGGAUUGUCAAACUGGUAAGUAAAAGUGAGUAGCCAGAAAGGGGGAAGAGGUUGGCAUUCUCUAGGUCAAACCAGUUCCCUUGUUUAAGCGAGACAUAUCAAGCAAGACCCUAGAAGGCUAAAGGUAAACCUGGCAACAAAGUCAGGAACCCAAAAUAAAAACUGAUACAAAGAGAAAUUACAAGGGAAAUAUUAAUGUUGGCUCUAUACCCAGGAGUGUGGUUGUUGACCACCGGGAAGCAUUUGACUUGAUUCAUAGGCUCCUAAACCAAUUAAUCAGGUAU
rnacentral:lncRNA from 1 species